UUGGAGAGAAGUUAGCAAGUUUGGUUAAUCCAAGAUUAGCCCAUGACGAGAAAUUAAGAAGAGUGAAGACAAUUACUAGUCCUGUCUGGCAAUCAUAAUAUGCAAACAGGAAUUGGGCAACUUAGGCCAUGAUACUGGCCAAAGUGAGUUACAGGGCUAGCUGGAUCUACCUGAUUGAGAAUUCACCCAUCUACCUACGGCCGCAACCAAUCCCAAAGUGGAAAGAUGCCAAAUAUGAUUCACUUUACAUGGUGAAUGAAUGAAAGCUGUGUACAGAGUACUGGGAUGGGGCACACCCAGGGGCCUUCUGUAGAUCUGUCGCCCUCUAGUGUUAAUAAACCAGUAGAUGCA